ensembl:snoRNA
CUGACCCUGAAUCAAGGCCAGCAUCUUCCUGACUCUGUUGGUUUCAAGCAGGAGCCUAAAGAGACGUCUUUCUAUGGUCUGUUGGCGAUUUCAGAAGUUGGUUAAUUCAUUAGGAAGACACAGCU